rnacentral:rRNA from 1 species
UGAGGAAUAUUGGUCAAUGGACGAGAGUCUGAACCAGCCAAGUAGCGUGAAGGAUGACUGCCCUAUGGGUUGUAAACUUCUUUUAUAUGGGAAUAAAGUGGUCCACGUGUGGACUUUUGUAUGUACCAUAUGAAUAAGGAUCGGCUAACUCCGUGCCAGCAGCCGCGGUAAUACGGAGGAUCCGAGCGUUAUCCGGAUUUAUUGGGUUUAAAGGGAGCGUAGGCGGAUUGUUAAGUCAGUUGUGAAAGUUUGCGGCUCAACCGUAAAAUUGCAGUUGAUACUGGCAGUCUUGAGUGCAGUAGAGGUGGGCGGAAUUCGUGGUGUAGCGGUGAAAUGCUUAGAUAUCACGAAGAACUCCGAUUGCGAAGGCAGCUCACUGGAGUGUAACUGACGCUGAUGCUCGAAAGUGUGGGUAUCAAACAGGAUUAGAUACCCUGGUAGUCCACACAGUAAACGAUGAAUACUCGCUGUUUGCGAUAUACUGCAAGCGGCCAAGCGAAAGCGUUAAGUAUUCCACCUGGGGAGUACGCCGGCAACGGUGAAACUCAAAGGAAUUGACGGGGGCCCGCACAAGCGGAGGAACAUGUGGUUUAAUUCGAUGAUACGCGAGGAACCUUACCCGGGCUUAAAUUGCAGAUGAAUUAUGGGGAAACCCAUACGCCGCAAGGCAUUUGUGAAGGUGCUGCAUGGUUGUCGUCAGCUCGUGCCGUGAGGUGUCGGCUUAAGUGCCAUAACGAGCGCAACCCUUAUCUUCAGUUACUAACAGGUCAUGCUGAGGACUCUGGAGAGACUGCCGUCGUAAGAUGUGAGGAAGGUGGGGAUGACGUCAAAUCAGCACGGCCCUUACGUCCGGGGCUACACACGUGUUACAAUGGGGGGUACAGAAGGCCGCUACCUGGUGACAGGAUGCCAAUCCCAAAAACCUCUCUCAGUUCGGAUCGAAGUCUGCAACCCGACUUCGUGAAGCUGGAUUCGCUAGUAAUCGCGCAUCAGCCAUGGCGCGGUGAAUACGUUCCC